AGUGAACGCUGGCGGUAGGCCUAACACAUGCAAGUCGAACGGCAGCACAGUAAGAGCUUGCUCUUACGGGUGGCGAGUGGCGGACGGGUGAGGAAUACAUCGGAAUCUACUUUUUCGUGGGGGAUAACGUAGGUAAACUUACGCUAAUACCGCAUACGACCUACGGGUGAAAGCAGGGGAUCUUCGGACCUUGCGCGAUUGAAUGAGCCGAUGUCGGAUUAGCUAGUUGGCGGGGUAAAGGCCCACCAAGGCGACGAUCCGUAGCUGGUCUGAGAGGAUGAUCAGCCACACUGGAAGUGGGACACGGUCCAGACUCCUACGGGAGGCAGCAGUGGGGAAUAUUGGACAAUGGGCGCAAGCCUGAUCCAGCCAUACCGCGUGGGUGAAGAAGGCCUUCGGGUUGUAAAGCCCUUUUGUUGGGAAAGAAAAGCAGCAGGUUAAUACCCCGCUGUUCUGACGGUACCCAAAGAAUAAGCACCGGCUAACUUCGUG
rnacentral:rRNA from 1 species